UGCGAAUUGCCUUCAAGCUAAUAACAACGUGUUGUAAAUCUUGAAUUGUUCCACGUAAAAAAAAAAUGACCAACCGUGAAAGCCGCGAAAUAUUACUGGAUGACGGUAUAAAUUCCGAUGAGAUCCCAGAGGUUAUAAUCGAUGUCAAUCAAUUGGAGCAACAACGGCAGCGGGUCGAAAUGUCUGAGGAGAAAUCUGAAAGUGGUGGCCUAAUAUCCUAUUGUAGGCAACUAAAACCACCUCAACAUUGGACAAAUUUGGGAAUAAUGUUGUGUGUUUUUUAUAAUCUGUUUAUUGUUUUAAUAUUAUUAGGCACUUAUAUACACUUUAAGCUGGGAAAGUAAAUUAUA